AUUUUUGCAAUGCCCUUUUAUAAUUAAU
rnacentral:sRNA from 1 species